AACGAACGCUGGCGGCGUGCCUAACACAUGCAAGUCGAACGGGAAAACCCGCAAGGGUGAGUACAGUGGCGCACGGGUGCGUAACACGUGGGUAAUCUGCCCAGAAGCCCGGAAUAACUCCCCGAAAGGGGUGCUAAUGCCGGAUGAGACCACGGGGACUUCGGUUCCUGGGGGAAAAGGUGGCCUCUGUAUACAAGCUAUCACUUCUGGAUGAGCCCGCGGCCCAUCAGCUAGUUGGCGGGGUAAUGGCCCACCAAGGCUACGACGGGUAGCUGGUCUGAGAGGACAAUCAGCCACACGGGAACUGGGACACGGUCCAGACUCCUACGGGAGGAAGCAGUGGGGAAUCUUGCGCAAUGGGCGAAAGCCUGACGCAGCAACGCCGCGGGUGGGAUGAAGGUCUUCGGAUCGAAAAGCACUGUCGGGAGGGACGAAUAAGGGCCGGGUGAACAAUCCGGUUCGACGACGGUACCUCCAGAGGAAGCACCGGCUAACUCUGUGCCAGCAGCCGCCGCCGUAA
rnacentral:rRNA from 1 species